rnacentral:rRNA from 1 species
CCAGACAUAUACUUUAAUUUAUAUUUUACAUACCGUCGUCGGCAGACCUUCUAAUAUAGAAUGUCAUAAUAUAUAAAUAAAAAGACAGAUCAAGGUGUAGACAAUAUUAAUGCCUUAGCGAGUUACUAUAAAAACUUAUUUCAAUUCUGAUCUUUAAUAAUCUAAUAAUUGACGGACUUAAAAGUAAUAAAUAA